GCUGCGGUGGGUUUGUGGAGCUUUGAGCGGCACGUUGGGCUCUGGGGGUGUAAUUUGGGGGCUGUGUUUGUUUUGGGUGCCCUGUAGGACUGUAGUGAGCUGCACGAAGAUGUCCUGUGCGGCUGUACUGGAGCGUUGGGGUUGUAGGACCUGAAGUGGGAUGUAAUUUGGGGUUGUAGUGGUGUGAGGCUAUGCCUAUGGGGCUGUGGGACUGUGAAGCCCUGUGGGGUUGCAUUGGGUAGUGGACACCGUAGAGACUGGGAUAGGACGUAGUUUGUGUCUGCAAGGCUGUACAGGGGGGAUAGGACAUAGAUUGUGUCUGCGAGGCUGUACAGAAACUGGGGGAUCCAUCCCAAGUGGCUUUAGGCGGAUGCCCUGAAGGGCUGCAGUGGAUUGUAGGGUCAAGGGGAUGCUCCACGAGCUGUGUGGGGAAGGGGCUGAAGCAAAACCCAAGCAUGAUGUGACUUCGUCCAGCUCCUGCACUGAUCCCUGUUGAAAGCAAGUGAGAGUGCUGCAACAAAAUCUGGCUGAGGAUGAAACAUUCUUGCAGCAGCCUUGGAGGCUGAACGUCAGCUGAGGAUCUCAAAAAUGAGGAGGAACAGCAAGUGCUUUGUCUCAAGACCCUUUUUUGAGACCUGAGGGAAUAGUGCUUCUACUGCAGCAGCACAGCAAAAACUUGCAUGCGAGGAGAAAAUAUUCUACCUUGGCAUUUGGAGCCUCACUAACAAGCAGCCAGAGAGGAGCGAUGCCAUAUAAAACUGUAACCUCUAAAUAUGAAAUUUUGGAGAUCGCAACGAGCGGCGAGUGCCAGCUCCAUGCCGGCAGCAGGGAGGAGGCAGAGGGAACGCCAUCAGCUCGCUACUCGCUGCUGCACAGAGCACAUAGCCCCAGGAGUUUCUCUGCCCGGUGUCCUGUUACCACUUGAAUCAAGAUGUGAAUGCCAAGCCAGCUUAUUUUUAGCAUGAUUUGGACCUAAAGAAGCAAAUGCUGGUGAAAUACAUAGUACUGACAGCUCUGGAAAAUCUUUAUUCAUCUGCAGCACAGGAAGCAGGGAAGGAUGCAAGAAAGCAAAGCAAUCCCAAGCUACAAACGAAGUUUCCCUAGCACUGCACAGAUCCUGGCAGUAGCUGGGAGAGGGUUUUUCCACGCUAAGAGCAGGCCUGGCACGGCAGGGAGGAGUGCGGUGUGCCGCAGAUUUGGACAGCCUGCAAGCCUCCAGCUGAGCUGACUGCGUCUGUUGGAGCUCAACUGCAGCAGCAGCGGGGCUGUAAAAAUGGGAGAGACUCGGAAAACUUGAGUAUCUGAGCCCUGCUCUGCUAAGCUCUGUGAGUUUACUGUGUUAAUACAACAUUGGCUCUGGGCAAAUGGGCGGUCCAAUGGUACUGAUGCUGCCCUGUACCACCUCUAGCAGUCACUCAGACCCUCUGCUCUGUGGAACAACCCAAAAAGAGGACACUUAUGACACAACCAUCAUGCCAAGCAGGCAUGUUCCUAUCCCCGUCUCCUGGGACGUUGCUGAAAUCCUCCAGUGCCUUUAGGCAUCUGCAGGACCUGAGCUGGCUGGGGACUUGUAGAUCCCUGCAGGCAGCAGUUGGCUGAAGUGGAGAUGGGGCCAUGAAAGGGAGCAGAGUAGCAAAAAUGGGUCCCUUUGGCUUUUGGGGCACAGCUAGGAGGUCCCUGGAUGUGUGCCGGGAACAGUAGCUGGGGUUGUUGAAGGUGGACCACAGGAGAUGUCCCUGCAUUUCUCUGCCAGGAGGAUGCACACACAGUGUUAACACGCUUGUCAUCAGUAGAUCUGAAAUCUAACCACGGACAGCUCAGGGAUCUGACAAUUGUUUGUGUCUGCCUCAGACAAAUAUCUCAUUGCCCCCUUUGCAAAUUUGCUCCUCUGCUGCGUGUGUGUUUCGAGUUUCCUCAUGCAAAACCUGCGUGGGUGUUUGGAUAUGUAAUGAGCACAUAGUUCAGGAUGAAAACAAGUUGCCUGGAAGAGCCAAGUAACGCCAAAAAAAUGAAAGCAAUACAAACAACAACAUGGCACACAGCCAUACCAGCUAGACCGUGGGCCAGCCGGAUCUCACGUACUCUCCGGAGCUGCAGAGCCGAUCAGCUGUUGGAAAAAGAGACCUUUAAAGACAAGUGAGAGGAAAUAGCAUUGGCAGUGCAGGUCACAGCAUGUUUCCUUCCAAAGCAGGACAGAGCCAAGGACAUGAGGCAGAGCUGUAACAUUCGGGGUCUCAUUGCUCAGCAAGUCAAAAACCUCCAGUGGGUUGUAGUUGUGUAAGUGCCUAUUGUUUUCUGAGCAGAAUCAGAGCACUGGUCUGAUUGGGUGUUGUCACAGCAGAUUUUGGCAAUGCUUGCUCACCUAAGUGAGCUCCCUCUGCAAAACAAAGCCCUGGCUUUAACUCAGUGCUCCAUGUUGGGGAAAUAAACCUGCCUGCCUACACAACUCUCUGACUGGAGAGUAUCUUCCAAGACCUCCCAUAGGAACUUUGAAGAAAAGCACCAUUAGCCUAUGGACCAGAGCAAUUCCAAAAAAUUCCCUGAAGUGGCCUCACUAAUUAUCAUCUCAUUUUGGUAGCGUGAAUGAGGAAAAGUAGUGGUGAAGCUGUUUUGAAAUGCAUUUUCUGCAGAGCCUGAAUGAAUUUCUGUAUAGAAAGGGGGGUGAGAGCAGGCCUCAAAGACAGGUUACGUAAUUUUUCCCUUGCCCUCAUCCAUUUGGAGCAAGGGACCAUCUGUACCUCCUUAUAACACAGAGAAACAGUACUUCUUUCAGCAUAAGAAAAUAGGUCUAGUUGUGUAGACUCUGAACUAAGCAUCUGCUCUAGCCCAUUCACUUAAAUACCUGUCUGAGAACUCUUCACCAGCUCUUAGAGCACCUGUUCAUUGGUUAAAGGCUUGAAUCAGUGAAAGCUCACUGGCAAUCUGGAAGGUUGAAAGGGGCCUUAAAUACCAGAGCUUCCAUAUGCAUAUUGGCAUUUUUCUUUGCAUAAAUGCCAGCUUUAAAAGGCUUGUUUUACAAAGCACAAACACAGUUCUAUGAUGAUUUUUUUUAUUUUUUUUUUUUACAUCAAGGUCAGUAACUCAGCUUCAUUCAUCAGUCUCCAGCUGCAAACAUGUCCCAGACAAUGGAGGAGAGUGUAUGUGAGCCAGGAAGUGCCGUUUAAGGGGAUGUGAGUGGCUCUGAACUGCACUGGGGAAAGAGGAUCUUGGUGCCCUUGUGCACUUGGCCCUUCACGAACUGAAAUAGGGCGCUUGAGGGCAGGAAAAGCUGCUUAGGUGGCACAAAUAACACUCGCACUUGGUGAGCUUCAGUAAAAGGCACCUCUCAAAUGUCACCGCUGUGCUGUCGACUCUGGUGUGAUGCAGCCAACAUUGUGCUCCUCUCCACAAAGGCAGUGAGCGCUCUUAGGAAGCAGACAAGAUAAUCCCAGCUAAAAAUACUUAUUCUUCCCCUGGGAGGUGCAUGCAUCCUGUGCACGGUGCUUUCACGGGGACGUGCUUGCACACCCAGUGCACUCUGCUCAUCUUUCACUUCCGUGCUUCUCCUCCUUCCAAGUGAAGUGCUCGGGCAUUGUGAUUAGUGCUCUGAAUCACCCAGAGAGGAUGCUCCGUCCUGUGUUUCAGAUGCAAAAUGUGCCUUGGAAUUCAAUUGUUGCUAUAGUGCUGUAAUUACACGUUUUAUGGAGUAGUUAGUCAGAAUGGCUAGAGCUCUUGUUAUUAGGCUUGGACUCCUUCUGCUUUAUUUUAAAGACCUCUCUGAUAAACAUCUACUCUCUGCAUUAAAAAUAGUUUUUUUCAGCUUUUGUGUCCCUUCAAACGUAGCCACAAUUCAUGGCUGAAGGAAAAUAGGUCCCCAGCUAUGUGGAGGGACAGAGUUUGUAGCAUGCUUUUUGCAACAUAGGGGUUGUGGUGCUCUGGCAUUGGCUGCUCCAAAAUGUUCCUCAAAGUCAGCUGCAAUGACACCAGCUGAGUACUUCCAGGAUUCGGGAGUUCUUGAGCACUGAUCUCAGCGACUUUGCUGUCUGUGGUUUGGAGAGGACUUGCACAGCCUGCUCAGGGCACCCAUACCAACCAGGAUCGUCUUCUUCCCUUCAGCAGUAUGGAGGAAGUGGACUCUUCGGAUGCUUCUUCUAGAAGAUGGCAGCCUACCACAAUGGGACACGGUUUGGUGAGGAUGAAUCCCUGUACCAAGGUGUUGCUGUUCUUAUGCCCACUCUAGAAGAAGCUCAGCAGUAUUGCAAGCAGCUGAGAUAAGCAAGAUAAGCACCAUCCUUGACAUCCCUACUCUGGUCAGCAGGGAUACUCACCACCCUACACCAUAGGGUUGGCCUUUCCCCUAUUAACCACAUUUUCUGCCCAGGUUUCCCUAUCUGGAGAGUGGAGCUAACUGCUUAAUUGCCUACUUUCUAAGGAGUCAGGCAGGAUAAUUAGCUAAUGUUUGGGUAAUGCGUCAUAGGGUAAGAGUGCUAAGUAGUAUUACUGUCAGCAACACAGUGGGAAGUGAAGAACUCAAUCUUGUUUUUCAGUCGGGAAUGUCACGGUCUUCCCUUAAGCUGAUUGUUCACAUUGAUUGCUGAGGGCAGGGGACUUGGGUGAAAAGUUUCAAGGAGGAGGAUGCCAAGGACAGCAGAAAGCUGUUUGCAAUCCAGGAGAAGAGCUAUGAGAAUAGCUUGGUGUGCUUUGGAAAGAGAAAACUGAAAAUGAUGACAAAGGCAGGGAACACGCCUGGGGCAGCACAGAAAGGACUCGUGUCUGUAAGCUUAAUUAUUCAAUAGCAACAUCCUCUGAGUCAUAAAAGUGCAUCGGGGAAAGUUUCUUGUGUUGCAUUUGUUGCAUGCAUGCAGCACUGUGGGAAGCAUGAUACAGAAACCCAUCUAGCUCUCCCUGGGGACUGAAGUAGACUCAACCUAAAAGAGAUUUUGCAUCUUUAAUUUCUAUUAUUCUGCAAAUUACGUUACAGAUGAACUUUAAACCCUUCUCAUGUCCGUUGAUCAUAAUUGAUGAGAUUUCAAUUGUGCCUCCUUGAAGUUAAACAUCUGAGAGACACUUUGCUUAAUAGUUUGCCUUCCAGAGCACUGCAUUAGCUCCCUUGUGCUCCAGUCCGCUUAAUUUACAGCGAGUGCCCAAAAGUGGUGCAGUUAAGGAAGGAAUCUUGGGCUGAAGCUCUCGAUGCUUUCAAAUGACCAGCAGACCCUUCAGCGCUGGCUUGUUUUUACCAUAGCUGGAACAACACUUUCUGUGACUCACUCUUAAUUAUUCUCUGGAUUCACAAACAAAUGUUUUUAACCUCUUUCUGUUGUAUCUGAGAAUAAUUAAACUCUCAUCUCUGUCUCUGAGCAGUCCUGGAAACAUUGCUGUGAUCUGCCGUUCCACCUCUGUGAGCUUGACUCCUUGGCUUUCUGGCCCCACCAGAGAAGCAUAUCCUCCUUCUGCAUCUUUUCUAAAUGAGCUGACAUUUUUCACACUUUCUGUUUAUUUUCUUGCCCUGGAAACAGUCCUAUGCUUUGAUCUAUGCAAAAAAGAUGUCUUUUCCAGGGAGGUUGCUGGGCUUUCCCUGUUUCCUGUCAACUGGCCAACCGCAGGCCACGUGGAGAAGAUGCUAGCUUCCUUUUCUUCUUCCCAGUAUCAGUAAGCCAGCUGCAGACCAUCUCAGCAGCUCUGCACCCUGCACAGGUGUUUCUUCAGGCAGGAGGAUAGAGGGAAGAAACAGAGAUGGUGCGGAAUCAACCCUCUCCACCCUUUGCAUUCCUACAUCUUUGCGAGCUUUCCAUCAGGAGUAAUGUUUGACCCUUGGGAAAGCAGAGCAACCUUUUGUUUGCCAUUCCUGAUGAUAUGAAAAUCAGCAGACACGCUGCUGUGGUGAGUCGCCCGCCAUGAAACAGUCACAUGCCAAACACCGCCCCAUCCCAGUGCUCCCCAGGGAGAGUUUGUGCCCAGUCUCAGUUUCUGAAGUCCUCAAAAGCCUGCUUUAUCCUAGAGAACCACUUCCUGUUGUGUCUGUUCCUGUAUUUGUACUAAGUAGGUGGAAACACUGGCAGCAGUUAUGGGAAGGGUAGGGCUUGGGGAAGGAUGUACGUAUUUAUCGAGAUCACCCUCCCAGCCAUGGCUGGAUGUUCUACUUAAGACCCUCUUCAGUGCUCAGUGUCAAGUGGAAAAUAAGCAGGACUCACUGCUUCCAUGAACAGAGAUGAAUUUUCCAAACCAAAAAACAAUAUUUGAUGAAAGAAUAAGCAUCAUCUGUCAAGACAGGGCAUUUAAGGAGAUCUCAAGUUGAUUUUUCUUCUCCAGAUGUUGCUCCAGCAGGAAAUCCACCCAAAGGGUCUCAUCGGUCCUGUCCAGAGCCUGACCUUAAGGUCUACCAUGAGAGAGUGGGAGAUUGCAGCUGUUUGCUGAGAGUGAUACAGAGGAAGGGGACAUUGUAGCUGUUCCUGUGCUCUCUUCACUGGGUUUGUGUGUAUGGGAAUAAGGAGAGAUGCUUUUGGGGCUAGAGGUCUGCCAGGCUGGGGGAAAUGGUGUAGGGAAGGCUGAGACAGGGCAAGGUUGCUAAUGCUCUUAGAAAAAAAGGGCCAUGGGGAUCCAGGAGAAAGAUGCAACUGCUGAUGUUGAGAGGUGGCUUUUUUUUUUCCCCAUAGAUCCAGGAGUUUUCAGCAUGUUGUAGAGAAGCGUUUCUGUUCCCUGGGAAAACAGGAUAGCUACAUACCCAGCAGGUGGCUUCACUUCUCAGCACACUCAGCUUCUCCUGCUCCAUAGGAAGCUGUUUCCCAGGAGCCGCAUAUGGGCAUGGACUGGUUCAUGAGCCUAUUCAGAUUCUGCUUGUUUCUGUGGCUUGGUGAUUUUGCAAUCUGCUUCUUAGGAAGAGGAAGGAGACAAAAGCCCUGUGACUGCUGAAGGCUUGAGACAGAUUCAUGCUUAUGAGCAGUCAUCCAUGUGGAUUUGGCAGCCAGAGCUCAGAGGCUUGUGGGCUGCCUGAGUGCCAUCCCUGCUACUUUGCCAACCUGCUGCCACAUGCAUAGACUGACUGAGGGGCUCAGGAAUCUCUCCACAUAGCUGAGAAAGAGGAGAAGAGGGACAGGAGAGUGACCCAAGUCAUUAUGUCCUUCAGCACGGGCACCUCGAAUUGCCCAGUCCAGAUUUGCUCAGUGUGUGUUGGAGGAGGGCAAGAUCCUUCUUUGUCAAAAGAAGCAUUGCAAAUCUCAAAAUGGAAGGAGCCUAAGAGCAUGCUAGAUAUGGAUACGACCCUACAUGUAGCCCAGCAAGGGCUUUGCUUAUGGUUCGCAACUCUCCUGCGUGCUUUUGGAGCACUUACAACAGCCAGCUUGCAGCCCUGCCCCUUCCCAGGAAUAUGCAGCUCCAAGGAGAAAAAUAACUAACUUCUUGGAAAAGAAUACAGCAAGCAAAAAAUGUGAGUCAAGACAGAUUUGCAAGGGAAAAGGAAAGGUGGUAUGAAGAAUAACAACAAAACACUGAUUGAUACUACAGAGAAGUUUCAGGGAGGUGAAAGGUUUGCAAAAAUGCCAGCUUGGGAAGUAUUAGAGAGACAGGUCUAUCUGUGGAAUACGAGAGCCAGAUGUAUACCUCUUCUGCCUGAAAUCAUCUAGGCAAAGCCAAAGGGGGUAGCCACAAAAUGCACAGCUCAGAAAGUGGCUGGGUAACAUCAGGAACCAAUUGAGGUCUUGGGCAUGGGUGGACUGGAGGUGCCAAGCCUGCUCACAGAUACUGCUCGGAUGGGUGUCAUGUCAAGAAUGAUUCAAGCCACCCACAGCUCCUGCCCGCUUAGACCUUGGCUUCCCAUGCUGCCUGCAAGAAGCAGUCACGUCUCCUUGUGUAGGCAUCUAGAGUACACAGCAAAGCAAAACCAGCUGAAGAUGAAGUAAAGAUAAUUCCAAAAAAAAGAUUGGAUGUAUUAAGCAAGAAUAGCAUGUCCUCCAGAUUGUUGAAAGAGGAAAAGAAGCAACAGUGGUGACCUUUUAUAAGUCAUGGAAAACGAAGGAGAUAGCCGGGUUCUUGGGAAAGAGGUCAGGAAAUGGAAGGCAGAGCAAUGGAAAUUUUUACCUGGCAACACUGACUUUGGUCCCAAAUACAGCGAAGGAAAAGGCAGGACGUGACAUAAAUCUCUGACUGUCUAAAGGAUGAAAGAAUAAUGAAUGUUUAUCCACAGGGCUAUAAAAAACAUGAAGAUGGAGAGAUUUUUUAUCAGUCUAUGAAAUGAGUGGUUGUGAGAAUACAGUGGAGGCAAUAUUUCGUCUCAUUUGUGAAGAAUUUGAUGCACUGUCUCAACACAGCACUUUUCUAAAAUUAAUUUGGCUUGAAUUUAAACAUCACGCACGCUGAACAUCGCAAUUUAAAGGUCCUCUCAGAUGGCCAUAUGAUAUCUUCCUCCUGGAUAAAGUGGAAGUGUUAAUGACCCCAUCCCUCUCUUGAAGCCUUCUUUCUGCAGACACAAAACCGCUGCAUUCAUCUGCCUCCGCCAACCACAGUGCAGAUAACACUCAGCAAAACACCGCAUCCUCCAGGACGGAGGCGGGGAAGUGAGAAAGCCAGCAAGUGAGUCAUCAAGCCUUACGGGCAAAAUCUGCCUGGUAUUUGUGGUGUGCAAGAGAAUAGCCAUGCGAGGGGCUUUAAGCUCACACUGGUCCUGCAGGGCCACUUGACUCUGUCCAGGGAUCACUGUGUGUCAUCAUUCAUCAUCAAGACCUUAAAGUCUACUCUAACCCCCAGUAUGUCCUUGUCGCCCUCUCUUCUUCUGCAGUGUGGUAGUUCCAGGAGCCAUCUCUGCUGGCUUUCUAUCACUGAAGUCUUCUGAGAGGAGAGAGCAUUGGUUUGUGGCUGAAAUCCUAAGCAUGUAAAUGUAGGCCAUGAUGCAAGAGAAACUGGCUUUCCAACUGUGCAUGGCAAGAAUGCCCCCUCAUUAAGGGAUCAAAGUGCUAUCCAUCGAGACCGCCUCUUGCAACAUGCUGAAGACCUGAUUAUGGUCAUUUUUCUCCCUGCUUCUACUGCAUGCCUGAGAAAGGGACACGGUAAUUAAAGUUUGAAUCUCAUUAAAUCUCAGAAAGUGCUUGGCUUUCUGAGAAUCCAAUUAUCACAAAUGCUAUGUAACGCCAGUCAGGGCACAGUUUGUUUUUGGAGUUUGGAAUUAUUCUUGUUAAACAUACAAAUAUGGUAUGAAAUCAAAAUUUGUAGAGUAUGUUGAAAAUCCAAAGAAGGUGCAGCUAAAAAAAAAAAUCAAACAAUUUAAGGGCAGAAAAAAAUACCUUGGAGAGGGAAGGAAAGGCUGCAAGAGCUUCACUCACCAGUAAGAGAAGGGACAGAGCAGGGAAGCCUGAGCAGCAGGAAUUACCCUCAUUGAGCCCAAGGGCUUCCAAGGAUACCGUGCCUGGGUCUGGAUGAGCAACCCAUCAAGAUAACAAGCUCUAGCUCCUGGAUGGUGACCUGAGGCAUAAAGCCAGAUGAGCAAUGAACUGUCAUGGCUUAACCAAAGGAGUGGCCAAGCUCUGGAACAUGCUGCCUAAGAGGGUGGUUGAGUCCCUGGAGGCAUUCAGGAAUAUUUAGAUGUUGUACACCAUGUUGGACAUGGUGUAAUGAGGAAAUGGUGGUGGUGGGUGAAUGGUUGGACUAGAUGAUCUAGGAGCUCUUUUCCAACCUGAAUGAUUCCAUGACUCUAUAAACUAUGCCCCAGCUGUUCUGGCUUGCUCUGUGGUCACUUGGGUUUGACAGGUGAAAAGUCCUUGAGUUAAUAUGCACUUGGAUCUGUACGUAUUCAUGGCACUGGACAUUACGUAAAGCCAGCAGUGAGAGGUGAAGCUGCUCUUCCUCUUGCUCUUCAAACAUGGAAUCAGAGAAUAUUCUGAGUUGGAAAGGACCCACAGGGAUCAUUGAGUCCAACUCCUAGCUCCACAGAGGACCAUCCAAAGUUCAUAGAAUCAGGGAACAGCCUGGGUUGAAAAGGACCACAAUGAUCAUCUGAUUUCAAACCCCCUACUGUGUGCAGGUUGCCAACCACUGGACCAGGCUGCCCAGAACCACAUCCAGCCUGGCCUUGAAUGCCUGCAGGGAUGGGGCAUCCACAACCUCCUUGGGCAACCUGUUCCAGUGUGUCACCACCCUAUGGGUGAAAAACUUCCUCCUAAUAUCUAACCUGAACCUCUCCUGUUUUAUUUUAAAACCAUUCCCCCUUGUCCUAUCACUAUCCACCCUCGUCAACAGUCAUUCUAAACAAACAAAAACAAGUUUAAACAAGUUCAAACCUUAUGUCUGAAAGCAUCAUCCAUAUGCUUCUUGAACCCCAGCAUCUUGGUGCCAUGACCAUCACCCUGGGGAUCCUGUUCCAUGCCUACCUCCCUCUGGUGAAGAACCUUUUCUUAACUCCCAGCCUGACCUUCCCCUGAUGCAACUCCAUGCUGUUUCCUCAGGCUUUGUCUCUUUUACUGGAAAGCAGAGCUCAGCUCCUGACCCUUCACUAACUCUGAGCUCCUGUAGGCUGCCACAAGGUCUCCCUUCAGCUUCCUCUUCAGUGUAGGAACCCUACAAACAUACAUGGUUGGAAGCAGAAGCCUGCCACAUGGAAAGGAAAUUCCUCUUUCUAACAAGCAGCUCGCCGUGGAGAGGGAAGAAUUGGGUUCUCCAUCCCUUGCUAUUUCCACAUCCUUACUGAAGUCUUCCUGAGCAACACAGACCACUUGUUUCAGCCCACUUCCAAAUGCUGAGUUGCAGUGUAUACAGAGCCUAUCCAAAAUAUCCUCCCUUUUUCCAUUGCUCCCAGGUUCGCCCCAGGAUGUGACCUCCAGGUUAUGGGACAUGCACGUUAGGAAGGAAUUCUUUACUCAGAGGCUGGUGAUGCACUGGAACAGGCUGCCCAGAGAAGCUGUGGAUGCUCAUCCCUGGUAGUGUUCAAGGUUUGAUGCAGUGGGUGGUAACUGCCCACAGCAGAGAGGUUGAAACAAAAUGAUCUCAAAAGGUCCUUUCCAACCCAAGUUGUUCUAUGAGGGCAGAGUGGGUGAUCUGAGACAGCCAUCAUGGUUUCACCAAGAGAAGGUCACACCCGAUCAGUCUGGUGGCCUCCUAUGAUGAAGUGACAGAAUCAAUAGACAAAGGGAAGGCAACUGAUGUUACCCACCUGGACUUGUCCAAGGCCUUUGACAUGGUUCUUCACCAUAUCCUUCUGUCUAAAUUGGAGAGAGACGGAUUUGAAGGGUGGGCUGUUUGAUGGAUAAGGAAUUGGAUGGAAGGUCAUAAUCAGAGACCUGUGGUCAAUGGCUCUAUGUCCAGAUGGAAGCCUGUAAUGAAUGGUGCCUGUCAGGGGUCCUUCUUGGGAUAAAUACUCUUUAACAUCUUUAUCAAUGACGUAGAUGGUGGGAUUGAAUGCGCCCUCAGCAAGUUUGCUGAUGACACCAAGCUGAGCAGUUGAUAUAGCAGAAAGAGAUGCCAUCCAGUGAGAUCUUGAUAAACUCUGAACGUGAGUCUUUGUGAAACUAAUGAGGUUUAACAAAGCAUAGUGCAAGGUUUUGCAGUUGGGUCAAAGUAAUCCCAGAUAUGUAUACAAACUGGGAGGAAAACUCCUUGAGAUUACCCCUGCUGUGAAGGGCUUAGGGGUCCUGGUGGAUGAAAUAAUGAACAUGAGCCAGCAGUGUGUGCUUGCAGCCUGGAAGGCCAGUGGUAUCCUGGGUUCUAUCAGAAGAGAGGUGGCCAGCAGGGACAGGAAGGUGAUUGUCCCACUCUGUUCUGCCCACAUGAGGCUCCAGCUUGAGUAUUGUGUCCAGAUCUGGACUCUCCAACACAGGAAGGAUGUGGAGCUGUUGGAGAGUGUUGGAGAGUUGUUGGAGUGUUGGAGAGUCUUGUUCAGCCUGCAGAAGAGAAGGCUGUAGGAAAAUUGUGGCCUUCCAAAAUGUAAAUGGAGUUUACAACCACGAGGGAAAUCAACUUUUUACACGAGUAGAUAGCGACAGGACAAGGGGGAACAGUUCUAAACUGACGGAAGGGAGAUUCAGAUGUCAGGGAGAAGUUUUUUUACUGAGUGAAUGAUAAGAUGCUGGAACAGGCUGCCCAGAGAGGCUGUGGAUGCCCUGUCCCUGUAGGUGUUUAAGGCCAGGUUGGAUUGGGCCCUGGGCAAUCUGAUCUAAUACGUGAUCUAGCGGCUUGCAACCCUGCCUGUGGCAGUAGGGUUGGAACACGAUGAUCGUUGAGAUCCCACUCAACCCAAGCCAUUCUGUGACUCUAUGAUUCUAUGAUAUGAUUGUCCAUCACCAGGGCUGGUGGUGGCUCUCGAUGCCUGGCUUUGCUGCACUGCUCAGCUGCUGGCUUGCCAAGGCACGAGGCACUCAGCUGUUCAUUGCCUCAGUUUUCUCAGCUGUAAAUGCAUAUUAAAAUAAUAACCUCAUUUGUUAGGGUGCUGACAGCCUCCAGCAGUGAUAGUGAAGAGUUCUGCCAACCUGGGUUAAAAGGUGCUAGUUAAGUGCAAAGUACUAUUAUGCUUUUUGUGGCACAGUGUGUCUGCCAUACAUUACACUUAUGUAACAUUACUUAGCACUUAGUCGGCACUUCACAUCUUUAACUAAUUAAUGCAGAAUCGAGCCAUUUACCAGCAUGAACAGAAAAACAUCCUGUAAUGACUGAUCAUGAAGCUCUGGACUGAUUUCCAGACUCCUCCAUGAGUGAGAAUUGCAGAAGAUACAAAAUAAGUUUUUGAAAAAGAAAGGCCAAGCAAACAAACAGAUGCUUUAAAAGAGAGAAAAAUUGAACUGUGUGACAGUGAAGGACUUGUAGAGAAAAAUAACACACUGCAUUUUCUCAUAGAAACAACCAGCCAGAGCUCAGCCUGCAGCAUCUCCAAAGCACGUUUAAAAUUUACCUCCUCCUCCUUUUUGCAAUUAAACACAUAUUCUUAUUCACCUCAACUUAUAAAAUAAAUAAUGACAAUUUUUAGUGCUAGCAAUUAAAAGCAAUGCUGUUUACAUUUUAAUUAGCUCUUUCAGUGUAACUAUCUCAGCUUCUUUCAAUCAGAAAUGGAUGUAUUUAGAAACAAGGCAGCUCCUAAAUGCUCUCUGCUUUUCUGUAAACAGUAGCCCUGCUCUGCUUUCAGAUUCUCAGGGUGGAAGGAGUGGAGAGGCAAUCUGCUGGAUGGAAAACUCUGCACAGCUUUUCUUCCCAGUGGUGAUUCUCUGUGGGAGUACAGAAAAGGAAGUUUAUUUUGGAAGUGAGAAAAAUAAAGAGAGGUUUUGUUCCAGGAGAACACAAAGAUAAGUAGCAUCUGUGCAGCUGGAAGUGCGGUGUGUGGCUGGGAGGACCAUUUUACAGCUGCAAAAUGCCAGGUACGUUUCCACCUCCUGGUAAAGCUUCAGAAAGCAUUGAAGUGCUACCAAGGCAGUCCCCAAUUUCCACCCACCUUAGGUUUGUGUUGCAAAAUCACCGAUCAUCUUCCUGCUCAGUGCCAUCUGUGGGCCUUGAUUCAGUACUGUGCAAGUCAGUGAAAAUUUACCAGCAGUUUCAGUAGAAAUAGUCACAGCUAUGAGAAUACCAGUGCUGUACAUCAGGUUCUCUACGCAUCAAACGUGCUCGGUCUGAACCCACUUCGACAAUUCACUCUGUUGUACCCAGCACAUCUGCAUCUCAGAUGCAAACCUCUUGGAGGAGAGACAGAUGUCAAAACACCACUCAGAUAGCUUUUGCUGUGAAGUAAUUCUUCCCAAAUAAACAUCAACUGUGAACAUGUUGCUGAACGGUGCUAAAAAGAGGCAGGAUCAACAGGUGCACAUGGCGUGGUUUUAGCAAUCUUCUGCUUUGUGCCCUCAUGCCACUGAGGUGGCAUUAUUUGUGACUCACAGAUAAACUCAGUGACUUGCCCAGGGCAGCAGGGGAAAGUCUUUGGAGAUAGAAUGAAAAUGCAGUGCUUUUCUGGGGAAUGUUCUGCCUAAAUAUUUUCUUUUUCCCAGCUAUUGUGUGGGUCAUAGAACCCUGGAUUUCUUUGAGUUAGAAGGGACAUUUAAAGGUCAUCUGUUCCAGCUCCCCUGUGAUGAACAGGAACAUCCACAGCUAGAUAGGUUGCUUAGAUCCUGAUCCAGCCUUGUCUUGAAAGUCUCCAGGGAUGAGACAUCAACAACAUCUCUGGGCAACCUGUUCCGGUGCCUCACCCUUAUUGUAAAACACUUCAUCCUUAUGUCCAAUCUAAAUCUCCCCUCUUUUAGUUUGAAACCAUUUCCCUUUGUCUAUUACAACAGAUUCUGCUAAAGAGUCUGUCCUUUUCUUUCUUGCAGCCCUCUUUUAGAUGCUGAAAGGCCACUCUCAGGUCUAUCCAGAGCCUUCUCCACACAGAACAGCCCCAGCUCUCUCAUCCUGUUCUUUUAGGGGAGAUGUUCCAUUCCUCAGAUCAUUUCUGUGGCAUUUUCUGUUGGUUCCCCCACCUUCUACUGUUACAUUGGGAACAGCCCUCACCAUCAUCUCACUUUGAGGCAGCCUGAGAUGACAAAGCCUUUGGAAAGGACUGAUUCUUUUGUGUCCUGGAGCACAGUAAGUACAGAUGAUGAUGAAGCCAUCACAGCUGGUUACAGCCACAUGAGCUUGAGCUGUCUGUUCUUUGAUGCCGGUGGAUGGCAUAUUGCUUUGAAAAGGAGCCCAUCGUUGGACAUCAUGGAACCUAAUUGGUACCGUUUGUUAUAGCAUCAACACUGGAUAGCUUAUCCUGUAGAGCUGAGGGACCACCCCAGCCUCUCAAAAACUACUGGCAUGUGUUGUCUUGAUCUUUCAAUGCUGCACUGAGAUUUUCAUAUUUCUCCGGCCAAUCUUCCACUCCCUCUCUGCUUCUUUCCAGCUCAGAACCCCAUCCUAGUGCAUGAGUCCACUUCAUGCACCCAUGUGAUGAGUUACACUUUGGAAGACCUUCCUAAACCUGCUCCUUACAGAUUGGAAACGGAUGGGAAAGCUUGGACACAUAGCAGGAGAAGAUUGCUAAGGGCUAGAAAGCAAAACAGGAGUUUGAGUUUUUUAAAUCUAUGCUUGAAGGAACAGCAAGAAUGGCAUGUAAAAGGCAGUAGUGAGGCUGGAAAAUCCCAAGUAAGGCUCUACCCCUGGCUGAAGGUCAGGAAAGUGGCCAUAAAUGCUGGCCAAGGCUGGACCGCGAGAGGCUCCUCAGGGAUGCCGCGGACAGAUGUGCACUCCUGGAUCCAGCUGUGCCACUGGACACAGACACUGGACAUGCUCCCCCCUCCAGACAUUCCUCCCCACCCUCCAGCUGCUCCAGCCCCUGCAGCACAAAGCAACAUCGCUCACUGGGGUGAACUCUCCAUUGACAGUGUGGUACAGAGCAUCAUUUCCAGCCAAGGCCAGUAAUGAGUAGCUGGGGCACGGUGACAUUUCCAGUUGACACAGCCCUCUGUGGAAAGAACAUCUGCCUGUGGCUAGAGAAUAGCCAAGGUAGCCAAGCUUGAGCAGUUUGAGACGGUUCAGGAUUGCUUUGAGGAGGUUGGCGAGCCAUGCAGCAAAAUUAGUUGCAUUUCAUGGAAAAGUGUAAGAAGGGCUCCUACAGCCAAAAUUGUAGCUGGGAAGCAGACAAGGAGGAAAAUGAAACUAUGAGCAAACAAAAGAGGCCCGUACUCAUAGCCCUCCUCAAAAUCCCGUCCCCUUAGUUCCCAAAAACGUGCUCUUGGGAAAUUUUAGAUUUAAGAAAUCAAUCUGUGUAGGCUGCAGACAUCCUCUGGUAUUCAUCCUCAGUUGUUAAUGGCAGGAUUAGUUAAUGAACAUUUUGAUCCUUAGGUGGCUAUUUUAUAAAUUUUUGGACAAUGUGGUCCUGAGAGGCAGAAGAAAGGAAAUGUGGUGGUGAUUUAGAACAGAAAAGGAUGGAAUAUAAUUCUGGCACUCACCAGCCUAUAAAUAUCAUAGAACAAAUAUUUAAGAAAAAGUCAUGAUGAAAUGUUUAGAGCUUGGUUCUGUCCACACAAUAGUGUCAACAGGGAGAAACUGCAGAAGCCAGAUGCUGAGUAAAAUUACCAGGAGACAAGAGUUGGACUUGAAGAAUGAUGGGCACAGAAAACAGCCAGGUUUUCUUCUUUUCCAACUUCUUUUUUUUUUUUUUGGAGGGAAGAGGUAUAAUGUUAGAGAAUGACAGAGCCAGAAGAUGAAGGAAGCACACAUUUAUGAACAUGUGUUUUUGUUUUGAUUAAUGUAUUCUGCUUCUUUGUCUUAGGAAAUAAGAAAUUAGAAUAAAAAAAAUGAGUUGGUCUGAAGCACAGUUUGUGCAAAGUGAAAACACAUUGAAAUGCAGUAACUAAUCCCAAACAAGAGUGUGCUGCAUUGAACAAGGCGUGUCCACUGCGGUAGGACAAGAGUUAGGAUCAAGUUUCAUUGACAUCCUUGCUGAUGAUCCGGGAGGACAGUACCAGUAUGAAUUGAAAUUCACAGAGGACAGUAAAUUAGAAGCAGGUUAGCAAGUAAUCAGGAGUUUUCCGUGGUUUAGAUCUACUUCUGUUCCAAACACCUGGAAAUAUCCACCCGAUACGAAGAGCCAUUUCAUGCACUGAAAAAUCGCGUCUCACUGAGUGCCGUUUUCAUUACUCACCACCUAGCCCACUCAGUCUCUCUGUAAUUCUCUGAAUGUACUUCUGGGUAUCUUCCAUAGGUCUUUCCACAGGUCCAACCCUUCUCUUUGUUAACUUGUGUGAUAUUCAGAGACACGUUUCUGGAGCAAACACGUGCACCCAGUGCUUGCAGCCGCCAUCUCCAGGUUUGCUGCCUGCCCGCUUUCCCCCCAUGCAAAGAAAAUCACUUGAAAUCACUCGAGUGAUGGAGCGGUGUGCAUUUGGACGUAUGUCCCCUCUCCACAUGGCUUUCAGUGCUCUUAUCUGCUAAUACAGAUUAAACUGGUUUCAUGAUUAACCUCCCAGGUCUGUGCUUGCCAGCAUGCUCCUCUGGCACAUGGAAUGCUCCCUGACCUCCUCCUCCUUGUGCGACUUGGGCGAUUCAUGGCUGUUACUCAAGACCUCUCAUCCACGAAAUCUUGAGUAACAUCCGUGAAUUUUCUAAGUAGAAUAAAUCAGGUCUCUGGAGCGUUGACCUGGGUUCUCCUCGCUAUCAGGAGAAAGGGAGCAGGGAGGGACAGAGCUUGUGAGCGUCUGUGUCUUCUCCCAUCAUGCUGGCCUGAGGGAACAUCAUGCAGCUGUGUCUGGAGGGUCAGGCUGAGUGUUAGGAAAAGGUUCUUCAGAAGGCAGUGGGCAUGGAACAGGCUCCUUGGGGCAGUAGGCACUGCCCCAAGCUUCCAGAGCUCAAGGAGCAUUUGGGCAACUCUCUCAGCCAUAGGGUUUCAAUUUUGGGUGGUCCUGUGUGGAGCCAGGAUUUGGACUCCAUAUUCCUUGUGGGUCCCUUCCAACUCAGGAUAUUCCAUGAUUUUAUGGUUCCAGAAGGACACAGGCUGUUUCUGGGGCUGAUUUGAUAACUUCUGAUCUUCUCUCACAGAUAAAACUCAACGUGUAAGGAAAUUAGGCUGGUGAUGGGAACAGCAUUACCUUACGCAGAGGGAGCAGCCACAAUGGGAAGGGGAGAACUUCAUCUGUUUAUUAUCUCAGCAUCUGCUGAGGAUGAAGGGUGGAGGGAGAGGUGGAAGAUCUGGAGGUGGAGCAAUAACUAAAAUGAUCUAGGGAGAUUGGAAAUCAUAGCAGCCUCCAUCAUGACACGCUGGAAGUCCUUCUCAGAAGGUCUUGUUCUUUGAGAUGUCACCCCUGAGAUGUUUUCCUUUGCAGGGUGCAAGUGUUCCCAAGUGAGUCCAGACCAUGGGUGAGGCCAGUUAAUGAAGCUGUCACCCAUGGGUGUUUCACAGGAUAGGGAGACCUAUCCUGUUACUGGACGUGGUCUGUGUGAGUCAGCCAUGGAGGCUGUACACUGCAAGGAGCAGGCUGAAGCCUUCCAAAGAGACAAUAUUUAUCCGGUUUGGUUUGUGGUUGCUUGAAGUCUGCUGGAGAAUUUGCUCUCAAACAACCAAACAAACAGAGGAAAAAGAAAUACAUGUGAAUGAAUCCAAAUGUCUCCUUAUGGCGUUUUUGGCUUUUUUUUUUUUAAUGAAAUGUGUUGAUUUUGCUUUUGCAGUAUGUCGAGGCUAAUUUUAGGAACGUGCGAUCUUUAAAAUUCCAAGGGGUUGCAAAAACUCUGGGGAGAAUAACACUGUGUCUUUCUGCCCCAAAGGCUGAACCAUUUGCUUUCCUGCCAAAGAGCCAGUGAUUCCCAGGGUGGAAGGGCAAACAGUCUGCAAGUCCUCGCAACCAAGCUGUAUCUCCAAACAGGGCAGGAGACCAAAGCAAACUGCUCUCUCCCAGGCUGGAAGGCAGGGGAAGCCCAGGGAAAGCAGCUAUGGAGUGGCCAGGAGCCACAAGGCCUUAUAUCAGGUGCCUCCUCAUCCACACUGGCCCCAAAGGGACUUGCUGGGAUAGGGGGACAGCAAGAACUCCAGCUAAGCCUGUCCCCACCCUUUAAGCCUCUAGAAUUGGACGCGUCUGGCUCCUUCUCUGACUCAGCCAUUAUAUCCAGGGAAUUUAUGGCCUUUCCUUCCUGCCAGCCUCAGUAAAUAACCCUGUCAUCUGACUGGGAUUUGGGAACCUACCAGGAGGAGGAGGAGCUUCACAAGCAGAUCGGGCUGAGGACCUGACCACAGCGGUGAGCAGCCCCAAGUAGAACCCUCACCGGUGUCAUCUCCAUCCUCAGUGGAAUGGAGCCCUUGGGGAGGCCCUGAAAGCUACCAUAACCCGCAUAUAUAUGUGAGCUUCAUGCUUCAUCUCUGUUGGUAUUUUGCUUGUGUACCUGAGGUGGAGUAGAGCAGGACAUGCGCAGGUAGCAGGAUGCCUUCAUUCCAUGCACCCUCUAGUGCCCUGGCUCCGUCAGGCUGAAUGGAGCCGUGAAAUUCAGUCUCGGCAGGGUUCUCUUGCUGCUCCCAGGCUAUCAUAGUCCCCUGUACAGCCUCUCUGUAGCUAAUUUGGACAUCCUGGCUUGCCCCCUGGAGGCAGCCCCAUGCACCGCUGAUGUAGAUAAGAAAAAUAACACUAGUAGUAAGGUGGGGGUAAAUUAGCAGAGAUGUUUAAGCCCAUAAGGGAUGCAGCAGAAAUCAGUGCUUUUGGGCUGUUGAAGUACACUUUUUUGGGGGGGGGUAGCUUGGACCAUCUGGAGUGAAGAGAGAAUGAGACAGAACCAAUAAACUAAAGAUCUCUUGGUCUUUCUUCACUCAUCCAUCUCUAGAGCUCUUUUUCUCAUUUGAUACUGCAAGGAUCAUGAUCCCUGCAAGACAGAUGAGAGAUGUUUUAUCUCCUCACCAUUACAGCUGUCAGACUGAGCCUCUGGGGUUUCUGAGGAAACCACAGCCUCUGGGCCAGGAAUUAUGUGCUGCAUCCUCCUGGCAUGGGCGCAGGGAGGUGCCUUUUCCUUCCUGGUCUUCCUUUUCCCCCUGCUCUGCUCUGUUCUGGUGUGGCCUCACCUCAAGAAUUCUGUGCUCUUUGGUCACCACAACAUAAGGACAGAAAACUAUUAGAGAGCAUUUGGAGGAGGGCUGCAGAGGUGGGGAAGGAUUUGGAGGACAAAAUGUAUGGGGAGCAGCUGAGGUCCAGCACAGCCAAUGGAGAACUACUCCUGGAGCCAUGAAAAGUGGGGGUGCUUGACACUGUUGGUGCUAGGGAAAUCCUUUAGCAGCCUGAGACUCACACACUGUUCAUAAAAGGGUUUUGUGGGCACUGAACUGGACAAGCAGUGAAGAACAGUGUUAAAUCACACGAGUGCCCAUCUCCACCCAGGGGAGUUGGAGGUUUGUGAUCCUUGAGGUCCCUUCCUUCUGUGAUUGUGUGAUUCUGAGUGCUUGCUUGCAGGUUGAUAUGAGCCUCAAGAAGUCUUCUGCCCCACAAUAUUUUUCUGGACAAACAAUCCCCGCAUGGCCCUGUAGCAGUGGUUAAUAAUCUCCGUCUUUCUGUUUGGGCUUUUUUUAAGGCAAGCAUGGAUUCAUGGGCUGAUUGGACUACCUCAGAAUUCAUAGGCUGGCACAACUUGGUAAAGGCCUUACGUUCUGCCAGGGGAGGUUCAGGUUGGAUGUGAGGAAAAAUUUCUUCUCAGGAAGCAUUGGCACAGGCUGCCCAGGGAGGUGGUGGUGUCACUGUCCUUGGAAGUGUUCAAGGGCAGAUGUGGCACUGAGGGACAUGGCUGGUGAGCAUGGCGGGGAGGGAUUGACAGUCGGACUAAAUGAUCUCACAGGUCCUUUCCAACUGUAAUGAUUCUAUGAUUCUACGUGUCUAUGAACUUCUGGUCUCAGAAGCCACGAGGCGGAAGACCCAAAAUAGCACAAGGCAGUGUGUGAAAAAAUAAAGGAAUAAACGAACAAAUAAAUGAAUAAAUAAAAAGGAUUGCUGACAGCCUGGCGAAGACCCUCAUGAUGAAUUCGUAAAGACGAUCAGCAAAUUGCCACUCAGGACAAAGACAUGGAGGCAGCAGCUCAUCCCCAGCCCUCUGCAGCACUCCCUUAGUCAUGCGGUAUUGAUUCCCUUGGCUGGGGCCGUGAAUCAUCAGUUCCUCGCGGGGAAGUGCUCGUACAGGCACAAAUUACCGGUGUGCAUGCAAGCAGGCGCAGCAGCGAUGAGAUGCUGAAGGAGAUGCUCUCGUCACGUGAUUUGGGCAGGUGAUCAACAAAGUACAGGACUGAAAAAAAUAAUCGGUGGCUGUGGCUAAAAAGGAAACAGGUACAGGGAAGAAGGUGAUGUCUUGUCCAGGAAAAGUCAUCUGCCAUCCACCCUGUGAGGGAGAACAACGGGCCUGUCCUUCCAAAGCCGCAUCCUCCGCUUGCCUUUUGAGCAGACAAGAGGUUAUUCAAGUCUUCACCCAUGCCAUAGCAGCCAAGCACAUCAGAAGCAGUGGUUUGAGGUCCUCUACAUCACUCCAUUAAAACCUUUUACAAGUGCUUUGAUCCUUCCCUGUUUCUCCCCAACGCAGCCGAAGAGGAGCCAAAAUUCCCACGUGGCAAACCCCUGCCUGUGCUAUUUUCCCUGGGAGGUCUGUGCAUGGAGAAAAAGCAGAAAGGGAAACUAACAAAGGAUUAAGGUUCUCUGCAGGCGGCAGCAAGGCAGCCACAGCUCAGGGCUCUGUUGGCAAUGGGCAUCUGCUGGCAAUCAGGAUCUGGCUCUGCAAGUGGCUGCAGUGCAUCCUCGUAGCUUUGUGAACACAACCUGUGGCUGCAAUGGAGCUGAAGAGAGGGCUGAAUGCUGGCCAGAAACCUGGGGCUUGCUAAAUGCACCGAGUGCCCCCUGGGCAUUAAGCCAUGCUGCACGGGAAGGCGUGCGUGGGCUGAAAAUAAUCCCUGCUCCCCUCUGAUUUUAUUAGCAUCCCCUAGGUGGGAGGGGAGGAGAUGCUGCUGCAAAAGCAACGCAGCAAUCCAGAGCAGAGGAAAGGAGAAGCCUGUGCUUCCGCUGCCAGGGAACAAGCUUGAAAGGGAUCCAGCGGAUAAAGAGAUAUUCAAAGUUCAGCUAAUGAGCGAGAUGACUCACUGCCUCGGCCAGACAAAGGUUAGGCUGGAAAAUAGAAACACUCUCUGCAAGGGCUGGAGGGGACACAGAGGGCUGAGGAGGAGGUGACGCUGAGUGCUGGCAGGGGUGGGGAGUUUGAAUGUGACCCCGGAUUUGCUCUGGACUUGCACCAGGAUUUGUACUGGGGGGUUGCGUGAUGGAAUUCAGUGGCCUUCACUGCAGGGCUCUGUGGCCAUUUCCAUGCCAGCAGACAUUUCGGCAUGUGGCAGCUGUGCCCACAGUGCUUCUGCAGCCCUUCUUCUGCGUCAAACAUCUAUCCGUUUGCUUGGAAAUUAAGCAAUACAGCCCUGGCCUUCUUCCUCUGCUCCACGCCAGUGCUGCUGGGACCAGCUUCGGAGGAUGGUCAGCCCCCCAGAAUGCGGGGAAGCAUCAGCUUGUUUCAAACACGUGCAUCGUCACCACUGUGCCCCAAGAAGAGAAAA